GAUGAACGCUAGCUACAGGCUUAACACAUGCAAGUCGAGGGACCGGCGCACGGGUGAGUAACGCGUAUCCAACCUGCACAUAACUAAGGGAUAACCCAGCGACAGUUGGACUAAUACUUUAUGGUUAUGGAUGGGGAUGCGUCUGAUUAGCUUGUUGGCAAGGUAACGGCCCACCAAGGCAACGAUCAGUAGUGGUUCUGGGAGGGAGGUCCCCCACAUGGGAACUAAGACACGGUCCAAACGCCGAGGAGAGGCAGGAGUGAGUAAGAUAGGGCAAUGAAGGCGAGUCUGAAACAUCCAAGUAGCGUGCAGGAUGUCGGGCUAUGAAUUGUAAGCUGCUUUUAAAUGGGGAUAGGUACCAUAUGAGUAAGGACCGGCUAAUUCCGUGCCAGCAGCCGCGGUAAUAC
rnacentral:rRNA from 1 species